UCGAGCCAACUCGACUCCUCUCUCCUCUCCUGUCUCCUCCGUUCGUUGUCUACUCGUCUACCACAAACCCCCAAAACCCUACCGCCGCCGCCGCCAUGUCCUCGUCGCCGUCUCCGGCGAGCCGCCGCCCGACGGGUCCGCUGGCGCUGGGGUUGGAGUCCUCGGCCAACAAGAUCGGCAUCGGCGUGGUCUCCCUCUCGGGCGAAAUCCUCUCCAACCCUCGCCACACCUACGUGACCCCGCCGGGCCACGGCUUCCUUCCCCGGGAGACCGCGCAGCACCACCUCGUGCACCUCCUCCCGCUCCUCCGCGCCGCGCUAGCCGAGGCCGGCAUCGCCCCCUCCGACCUCGCCUGCGUCUGCUACACGAAAGGCCCCGGCAUGGGCGGCCCGCUCCAGGUCGCCGCCGCGGCCGCCCGCGCGCUCUCCCUCCUCUGGAGCAAGCCGCUCGUGGCGGUCAACCACUGCGUCGCGCACAUCGAGAUGGGGCGUGCCGUCACGGGGGCCGUGGACCCCGUCGUGCUCUACGUCUCCGGGGGGAACACGCAGGUCAUCGCCUACAGCGAAGGGAGGUACCGGAUCUUCGGGGAGACUAUCGAUAUCGCAGUUGGGAACUGCCUCGACCGCUUUGCCAGGGUCCUUGAGCUCUCCAAUGACCCCAGCCCUGGGUAUAACAUUGAGCAGCUUGCAAAGAAGGGAGAAAAGUUCAUUGAUCUCCCUUAUGUUGUAAAGGGUAUGGAUGUGUCAUUUAGUGGCAUUUUGAGCUUUAUUGAAGCUACAGCAAUUGAAAAGCUUAAAAACAAUGAGUGCACACCUGCAGACCUGUGCUACUCACUGCAGGAAACUCUGUUUGCCAUGCUUGUUGAAAUUACUGAACGUGCCAUGGCACAUUGUGAUUCAAAAGACGUUCUUAUUGUUGGUGGCGUUGGUUGCAAUGAGCGUUUACAAGAGAUGAUGAGGAUUAUGUGCUCAGAAAGAGGGGGUAGGCUGUUUGCAACUGAUGACCGCUAUUGUAUAGACAAUGGGGCAAUGAUUGCAUACACUGGUUUACUGGCGUAUGCACAUGGUGAGACCACUCCCCUGGAGGAGUCGACAUUUACGCAAAGAUUCCGGACUGAUGAAGUUCAUGCGAUUUGGAGGGAGAAGGAGAUGCCAGUGAUGACCAAUAUCCACACAGAUGCAAUGGCUGAAGUAUCCAAGGAUGAAGCCUCCAUGCCAACUCCAAUCAUUGUAGAUUCAUGAGGUCCAAAUGAGGAUGAUAUGCUGGGUGUGAAUUGUGAUCCCACCUCCAACGAGCUUUUUUAGACUUUGCAUGAUAUAGAACACAUGAAUUAUACUGUUGAAGUUUUAGCGGCAUGCAGAGCUAUUGUACCCAGUGCAGAAACAUGCUGUUAAUUAGGGUAGUAAAUGGCUAAAUGCUUAAACAGGAAGGUGUAGGAGCAUGCAUGCAUGAGAUGCCUUUGCUUGCUGAUUUGGAGAAAACCUCGAGGCUCAUGGCAGGUGGCUUGUACUACUGUGCUGCAGUUGAGACUGUCAGUUGCAAAGCAUUUACUGCAAGUACUGAUCUGCAACCUGGUAAAAUGAAGGUGUUGUAUGUCACAUUCACACGUGCUCAAGUGAUCAAACCUCACAAGUCACAAACAUUCUGAUUAGUUAAAGGCAUUUUCAUCUUUAUGUGACCCUUA